UGGGGAAUAUUGGACAAUGGGCGCAAGCCUGAUCCAGCCAUGCCGCGUGAGUGAUGAAGGCCCUAGGGUUGUAAAGCUCUUUCACCGGUGAAGAUAAUGACGGUAACCGGAGAAGAAGCCCCGGCUAACUUCGUGCCAGCAGCGGCGGUAAUACGAAGGGGGCUAGCGUUGUUCGGAUUUACUGGGCGUAAAGCGCACGUAGGCGGACUAUUAAGUCAGGGGUGAAAUCCCGGGGCUCAACCCCGGAACUGCCUUUGAUACUGGUAGUCUUGAGUUCGAGAGAGGUGAGUGGAAUUCCGAGUGUAGAGGUGAAAUUCGUAGAUAUUCGGAGGAACACCAGUGGCGAAGGCGGCUCACUGGCUCGAUACUGACGCUGAGGUGCGAAAGCGUGGGGAGCAAACAGG
rnacentral:rRNA from 1 species